rnacentral:miRNA from 1 species
UUCAAUAGGCUGGUACAGGGCUGGAGAGGUGGCUCAGUGGUAGAACGCUUGCCUUGCAUGCCUGAGGCCUUGAGUUCCAUUCCUCAGCACCACAUAAG